rnacentral:rRNA from 1 species
GGGGGGGGCAAGCGUUGUUCGGAAUUACUGGGCGUAAAGGGUGCGUAGGCGGCUUUCUAAGUUGGAUGUGAAAACUAUGGGCUCAACCCAUAGCCUGCAUCCAAAACUGGAGAGCUUGGGUUCUGGAGGGGAGAGCGGAAUUCCUGGUGUAGCGGUGAAAUGCGUAGAUAUCAGGAGGAACACCGGUGGCGAAGGCGGCUCUCUGGACAGACACCGACGCUGAGGCACGAAAGCUAGGGGAGCAAACAGGAUUAGAUACCCUGGUAGUCCUAGCCCUAAACGAUGGAUACUUGCUGUGAGGGGGAUUGAAACCCUUUGUGGCGAAGCUAACGCAUUAAGUAUCCCGCCUGGGGAGUACGGUNNNNNGGCUG